AGAACGCUUGCGAUACAGGGCAGAAAUUAGAUUGGCGGCGGAUAGCCUUGGCAAGACCUGCUCUAGAGCAGACUUACAAAAGGCUUCUAAGGAGGUUGUCAAAGUCUACUCUAGAGUAGGUCUUGCCCAGGUUAUGGGAGACAUGCGGGAGAGAAUAAAACGGCGUGAGUAUGACAGAGAACGAAGACCUCGUCCUUCGACAGCAAAUUCCGCCACAAGCUCGAGAUCGUCUCAGCACUCUAGAUCUGGUCCAUCUCUGCACGAACAGCUCCAGC